CAGCUGCAUGGAAAAUCUGACCAACUAGCUGCAAACUGACUCAUCUUUAAGGCAUCAACGGUCAGACUGACCCUCCCUGGGAAAUGAAAUCAAAGCCAAUCUCAUCAACAGAACACAGACUCGGCUGAUUGGGCAAGGUGGUGCUAACUUGAAUAGUGCAAUUGGCCAUUCAAACUGCUAUUUUGAGACCAAACUGAAGAUCAGCUGGUAACAUCAGCAGUGGACUGACCAUGCAAGAGUUAAUCCUACUAAUGACUAAAGACCCACACGGUAGCAUCAGCAGUGGACUGAAGGUGUGAGUGUUAAUCCUACUAAUGAAACAAACCUCUUUACCCCAGCAUGAGAAGGCCAUGCUAGAUGAAACCAAUCUCUUCUUUCUCACUCUCUGCGACAAAAGAUGGAUGUACCAGCAGACAAAACAGCAGCUCACUUGUCAACUUAUGGACUCCAUGUAUACUUCAAGAUCCAGUUCCCUGUUUCUGUCAUUAAAUCUGUCCUGUUCUACACUCCAUCCCUGCAACUUCCUCCCACAAACCUACAAUAAUUGGCACCACGAGAUCUCUGGUCUUCCGCUUUCCUGGAGCUUCCCUAUUUUUCCAUUUCUUGCCUCCAUGCAGUAGUAGCCAUUGAUAUUUCCCUCAGUGUGACAAGUGGGGUUAUUUUAAAAUUCAAACUGGAUUCAGCGGUGAGCCGGGCGAUGACACUUUUUAAUAUCUGAAUGGAGUUGUAUGGGAAAUGUGAAGCAGACGGCCGGGGUGAGAAUUCAUUACCCGGCCCCUUCGCUCACCAGCGCCAGCUGCUGCCUCGCACAUCCCAUCUCAAAACCCAAAUUGAACCCCACCCUCUGCAUAUAUUCCAGCCCCAUUACAAUGUCAGGUAUCCAGUCCUGAGAUGGCGCCCGCUGCUUAUGCAAUGUCAGUCACUAGACAACUUGCUUCAACAACUUGACCCCCAUCUGCUCCCUCUUACCUUUUUAUUCCUCUCCCAGGAUUCAUUGCUCAUUCAGAACAUGCUCUCGCCUACAUAUUUAUUUGCAGAUAGGCUGGUGAGCAAACCUGCCAUGUCUCCUCGGAGGUGUGCUCCUCCUCAUCUUAAAUGCGAUGUUGAGAGGCCUGAGGAGAUGUUGAUACUGUGAUUGUCUGGUGGCUAACCGAGUGAUCAGCACUGUGGGCUGGAUGUUUGACACACUGUCAUUCAUACAUUAUCACUCUCUUAUCACCAUUCUUCCCUUUCCAAUUUUCAGCUAGGAUGUUUUACUAAAAUGACGGCAGGACACAGAGAUUGAAGCAUGUUUCACAAGUGAUAUGACAACUUAUUGGCACCUAUAUGAAUGAGCCAUGAAUAGCCUACAGUACGGACAGUUAACUAACACAAAGAAUUGUCCAUUCAAAUUAUUAAUGCUAAUAAAUGUAACCCUAGAAUGCAUAAAUGAGGCCAAAUUGACCAGACAGCGUAUUAAUUUUGGGCUAUUGUUCAGUUAUUUGAUUUUGAAAUUUUCCCUUAAUUGUAUUUAUUUUUAAUAGUAUAUGUCUUGCUGCAUUUAUUUGAUCAGAAGAAUACAGUAAA